GAAAGAUGCAAAAGACAACAGUAGAGUGUUCCUAAAAACCUUCAUAUGAUUUAUCCUGGGAUUGUGAAAGCUGAAGAUACCAGAAUAGUCACUUUUGUUGGACCCAGACAAAAUAGGGCCGGGAAGGAGGCACAUGCAUGCAUGUCGGAGGACUGCAAUAAUUCAAACAAGACAUUCUCCAAAGGAUACCUGCUCAGUAACAGCAUCUCCGUCAAUGAACUGAUAACAACUCUGGCUUUGAACCUAUGGAACCCAUGGACUCUGUUUCUAAGCAGCUUAUGAAAAUCUUUUUUUG
rnacentral:lncRNA from 1 species